rnacentral:rRNA from 1 species
AUGCAAGUCGAACGCUUCUUUUUCCACCGGAGCUUGCUCCACCGGAAAAAGAGGAGUGGCGAACGGGUGAGUAACACGUGGGUAACCUGCCCAUCAGAAGGGGAUAACACUUGGAAACAGGUGCUAAUACCGUAUAACAAUCRAAACCGCAUGGUUUUGAUUUGAAAGGCGCUUUCGGGUGUCGCUGAUGGAUGGACCCGCGGUGCAUUAGCUAGUUGGUGAGGUAACGGCUCACCAAGGCCACGAUGCAUAGCCGACCUGAGAGGGUGAUCGGCCACAUUGGGACUGAGACACGGCCCAAACUCCUACGGGAGGCAGCAGUAGGGAAUCUUCGGCAAUGGACGAAAGUCUGACCGAGCAACGCCGCGUGAGUGAAGAAGGUUUUCGGAUCGUAAAACUCUGUUGUUAGAGAAGAACAAGGAUGAGAGURACUGUUCAUCCCUUGACGGUAUCUAACCAGAAAGCCACGGCUAACUACGUGCCAGCAGCCGCGGUAAUACGUAGGUGGCAAGCGUUGUCCGGAUUUAUUGGGCGUAAAGCGAGCGCAGGCGGUUUCUUAAGUCUGAUGUGAAAGCCCCCGGCUCAACCGGGGAGGGUCAUUGGAAACUGGGAGACUUGAGUGCAGAAGAGGAGAGUGGAAUUCCAUGUGUAGCGGUGAAAUGCGUAGAUAUAUGGAGGAACACCAGUGGCGAAAGGCGGCUCUCUGGUCUGUAACUGACGCUGAGGCUCGAAAGCGUGGGGAGCAACAGGAUUAGAUACCCUGGUAGUCCACGCCGUAAACGAUGAGUGCUAAGUGUUGGAGGGUUUCCGCCCUUCAGUGCUGCAGCUAACGCAUAAGCACUCCGCCUGGGGGAGUACGACCGCAAGUUGAAACUCAAAGGAAUUGACGGGGCCGCACAGCGGUGAAGCAUGUGGUUAAUU